GAUGAACGCUGGCGGCGUGCUUAACACAUGCAAGUCGAACGGAAAGGCGCGGCUCUUGCGGGCUGCUCGAGGGGCGAACGGGGGUGAAACAAGCGAGUAUCCCCCCCAUGACGGUGGGACACCUUCAGGAAACAGGGGCUAACACCGGAUAGGAUCUCCUGCAGCAUGGUGGGGGAUGGAAAGCUUCGGCGGUUGGGGGUGGACUCGCGGGUUAUCAGCUGGUUGGUGGGGUGGUGGCGUUCCCAGGCUUUGACGGGUAGCCGGCCUGGGAAGGGGACCGGGCACAUUGCGCCUAAGAUACGGCGCAGAGUCGUACGGUAGGCAGCAGUGGGGAAUAUUGCACAAUGGGCGGAAGCCUGGUGCAGCAACGCCGCGUGCGGGAUGACGGCCUUCGGGUUAUAAACCGCUUUGGGCUGAGACGAAGCGUGGGUGACGGUACUGGGUAAAGAAGCACCGGCUAACUACGUG
rnacentral:rRNA from 1 species